CCCGCCCCCGGCAGUGGGCCUAGCCCCUCCGGCCGGCAGGUUGGAAGUCACGAGAACUGGCGGCCAGCGUGUGUAGGAGUGAAUCCGCUAGUUUGCCAAGCUGAUUGGAAAAAGCAAGCCUGCACCCUCCAAGCUGCACUAUUACACCUGGGAGACGAGCCUCAACCAGAAGUCCCUGAAGAAAUUCUACAAAAGGUUGUUGAUUAAUCAAAGCUGGAGUCAUUUUACAGAGAUAGCACUGUGCAUGUGCAAGACAGGAACCUGUGUCUCCAGGAUGACCUUGGAACCAAGAAUCUUCAGUCUACAGAACUCAAAGAAUAGAAAUCUUGCCACCAGAGCCCUUUACAAAGUGAGAAGUCCUUCAAUAAGGAAAAGCUGGCUUCCAGCAGCAUGAGUAGCUCAUAUGGACUAAUUCAAGACUAACCAAUCACCAUCCAGGUUUGAAAUUCCACUAACCCCUUAAAUUUCACCCCAGACUCUGGGUUGAGGAGACAGGUUUGAGAACCUUGCCUCCUGUCUCUUUGUCAGUCGACCUCGUGAUAAAGUUCUUUCUUUUCUCAAAAAUCA